AGCAGGUGCUUCCCGCGCUCACACUGCGAGUCCACUGGGCCAGAAGACGGUGCAAGGAUGAGGUCUUGAGAGCCGACGUUAUCUCUGAGGCAAGUGCGAGAAUACUGAAAAAAGCAGAACUCAGAGGAACACAGGAAGCACCACCGCUCAGGUGAGACUCCAUGGCAACCCUGCACAGCACUAGGAUACGCUCCUGUGUCAGUCCUUGGGAAGAGUUCUGCUUUGAGACAAGUGCCUCCACAAGGCAGGGCUCCUGUAUGUGUAUGUUAAGUCUGAGUAUCAAGAGGACCCAGAUGGUGACACUGUUCAACAUAAGGUCUGAGGUAAGUGGUUCUUAAAAUACCUGGAUCACAGAAAUGUAUCCAGUAAUUGGAGCUGGAAAAAAAGGAAGAGUGUAAAGGAGCUGGGGCUAGAAAAGACACAUAGGAAAAAGCUUACAGCAGUUGCUUUUGGGGGAAGUGGGUGACAAAAACAAAGGCACAACAGAAUUACAUUCCAAGACAAGUGGCUGGAGAGCAAGAAAUGUUCUUUUAUGGGGAACAGAAAAAAGAACAAUGGGUUGAUUACUAGAGUACUAGAUCCAAGACUAAGUUGAUUCCCGUAGUGCUCCAAGAACUAAGUUUAUUACCAUUAUGAAAGUGCUGAAAUAUAAAACUACAUUCCCAAACAGAAUGAACAGAAAGCACAGCUGUUUUAAAAUAACAUAAAAUAAUCUCAUAGCAAAACUAUAUCCAGUGUCCCUUUGGAAGCCACAGCCUUAAGCCAGCAGGCAGGAUGUCCAGGACAGGCCUUCACCUUAGACUCUGAGAGUACUAUAGUUUAGCUUAAUUAUUCACUUCCCCUCCCUCCUUAGAAGUUCCCCCCUAAUAACCAUCUACCUGAAAACAAAAAGGCUAAAGUGAAGACUGCCUCCCACACAAUGGCAGUGACAAUGACCUUUGUGGGAACCUCUGUGGACAUGUGAAGGGUUUCCUGUUACUGGGCAGCAAGCCAGCCCAACUGUGCUCAUAUUCAAACUGGAGAUGACCACAGGAGAAACAUGUGCCUGGCAGUUCUCUAAUUAACUGGACCAUUGUGUCCACAUGGCCCUCUCUGCUGUUUCUGAAGAAUUACUCAACUGGAAAAUCUGGUCCUAGGGUUCAAUUUGGUCGAACUCAAAACACCAGAUCCUCAUUUCAAAGAUUUUAUAAUGUAAAUCAUAUUUCUUCCAGUCCUAUCCUACCCCAAUCUGCACCCCACACAGUAUAUUCUCCUCAAACACCCUUAUGCACUUAUAUUCUGUGAUAGGUGCUUACAAGUGAAUUGUUAAUCUCAGAACCCUUAGUUGAAAAGCACUAAGGUCAAACACACUGUAGAUCCACUCCCUCUCCCAACCCUUUUCUUUCCAAUCCAAAAAGAGUCAAAUCGAAGCAUGGCUCUCUAUACUGCCCCAAGUGGAGUCUGGGCCAAAGGAGACCUAGAUACUGACUGCAGGCUGCCAGUGUAUACAAGAGUCUAUGUGAGCGCUAAUAGUUCCACACCACUCAUGCUCCAGUGUACAGUUAUCCUGAAAGGUAAACCUCAUCAGCUCUGAUUACAAAAGCAUUCUUAUUCAAACUCACUAGGCUUUAUAAAAAUAAUCUGUGGUAUAAAACAAUCUCCACACUGUGUAGAAGAAAUCUGUCAGGUGAUAUAACUAAAUAUAUAUAUAUAUAUAUAUGUAUGUAUGUAGAGCUAUAGAUUUUUUUUAAAGUAAAAUUUCAAGUGUUGUAUCUCUAUUAUAUAACCUAUUCUUUUAUUUACAAGGCUAUCUAACAAUAUCAAUGCGAACAUAACUAGGAAAGUCAGAGAAUGGGCCCAUACCCAACAAAGAGUGCAAGUUUCCAAGAUUCAAGACACAAUUUACUCAUUCACAAAAACCCAUCCUCAUUGGCCUGAAAAACUAAUAGAUCACAUUUUUCUUAACUGUUGAGCUCAAAAACCUAAAUUCUGCAAAUGAAUGUAAGACUUUUCUGUGAGUAUCCAAUACAUACUACAUACACCCAUAUGGCCUUGUAUGUAUUUCUUUAGUGCCCCUGGAUGGCUUACAAUAGUUCCUAGAACUGCCUAAGCCCAAAACCAGUGUGUGUGAAUCUAUGGCAUGAUGUCACCGUGGGCUAUUUGUCAUCAUUGAAAGCUCCAAAAGGUCCACCAUCACCCACCUAGACAAUACAACACUGCCCCAGAGGGAAAAAGGUCAGUGUAGAGCCUACUACCAUAAUCCAGGUAUUUGAAGAAUAUGCAUGUUAAUUCUUCAGCAGAAACUACUUAUUAUGUCUAUGCGUUGCCACAGGAAUUAAUGAAGCCAUCACUGGUUUUGGUACUACAGGGAUACAGGGAAUAUCACAUUCAUUCAUACUUGGAAGAUACUGUCAUGAAAAUGUUAAACCCCAGGACAAACUUAAAUGGUGAUAAAUUCUUUAAAUGCAAAUUUUCACCCAAGGUUGGGUAUGACUGGUACAUUCCUGUAAUCCCAGCACUUUGAAAGGCUGAGACAGGAAAAUCUCAAAUUUGACCUUGCUCGAACAAUUUAGCCACUGAAGUGAAACCCUGCCUCAAAUUAAAAAAUUUUAAAAAGAGCUGGGGUUGAAGCUCAGUAUUGAGGUCUUGGGUUUAAUUCCCAGUACUUGGUGGUGGUUGUUUAGGAGGUAGGAGAGACCUCCUUCAUCCAAACCAAAAUUUACAAUGAACCCCAAGAGAGUAUAAAAUAGGAACAUUCAAAAUAUCCCUUUAAAUAAUUUUGACUUUCACAUGUUGCUAGUUUGAUGGGAUUCUUCUUUUUCUAAUUCUCCUUUUGAGACAAGAUCUUGCUAAGUAGUUCAGGCUGGCCUUGAACUCACUAUGUAGCCCAUCCUGAUCCUGAAUUUGAAGUGAGCCUUUUGCCUCAGCCUCCUGAGUGCUGGGAUUAUAGAAAUGUGUCACCCACAUGGCUCAAUGGGCCUUUUGAAUUCAUUUAUUUUUUUUUUAAAUGUAGUUAAGUGAAUUUCCAAAGGAGUGUUUGAACUUUUUUUUCCUACAAAACUAAAUCAUUAUCUCAAAAAAAUGUCCAAAUGUUCUAAAAGCCUGGGAUACAUUCAGAGGUAGACGGCUAGUUACAAAUCAACCACCCAAAUCUUACCUAAAGAACCAUGUGCAUAACCCUGAAUGCAUUAAAUGUUUAAAUUCUCGACUGAGAAGAUACACAAUUCAUCCAGUGAAGUAGUAGGCCUUGAGUCCAGGUGUGGUGAUGCGCACCUGUAAUCCCAACCCUGGGGAGGUUGAAAAUAGGAGGAUUGCUACAAGUCUGAUCUGCAUAGUGAGACUCUGUACCAGAUACAUGAAGUAGGGGGCCUUUUGUCUAAAAGGCAAUGUUGACCAAGACUUAAAAACUCACUCCUCCUGAAUAUGUUAGCUGUUGAGCAUUUUAUUAGUUUAGUUUUUCUCACAGCUACUGACCAAGGAAAUUGCACUUUAGCAAACUGAGAGAAGGAGGAAGGGACACCCUGCCCCUCUUUUUGUGACUGCUGCUUCAGGAAGACCACAGUAGAUGAGGAGAUAUGGGCUGCAUCCUGGAAAGGUAUGGUCCUAAUGCCCAGAGAUGCAGCCAGGCCUGGCCCUCUCUCCAAAGGUGUGCCUUUGAAAUCCAACAGCCUGAGACACCUGAGACUGAAGAUCAAACUGAAGUAACUCUUGGAAACUGCUUUCCAAUUUAGGUAUUUUGCUGGCAAGCCAAGUUUUUUACAAUAAUGACUGGUUUUUUUACUAGUCAUUUAGGGGAGAGAAAACCAAACAGCAAAUUCUUUUAUUACCAAUAAGUGCUUGGGAAUUUUACACUACAUACUUUAAAAACACACAGUUCUGUUGUGAGCUAGCCGUCUGAUCUUCCCACUCUGGAUGGGACAGUCACUUCCCUGCCUUCAUGCCUCCAGCACUGAGGCCACAUGACAGACCUUCUCAGCCAGAGCACAUAGACAUUCCAUACAUAGCUGGUCUUGCCAAGAGAAAAACCACACACACAGCCUGGGCCCCAGGACAGAAUAUCUGAGGAUAAGAACAUGGCCAAAUGAAGAAGGUCACAGAGCAAAACUACAAGAGCAUGCCCUGCACUGCCUAAAUCAUCAAGCCCCAUGAGUGCUGGCCUAGCCCCUUGUGGCAAGCUUCACAGCCUGCAGAUGAGAGCCUUCCUUUUGCUGAGCAUGUGAGGAUGAGGCCCUCAUCUCCUACAGAUGUUCAGGACUAGCUGAUGUCCUUCUCUAUCUGCACUAACAUCCCAAGUACAAACAGAAUGAACUCAGAGUUAAAAAGCAACUGGCACCAUGCUGCCUUGCAGCUAGGCAUCCUUCUCCCCUGAACAUUCCAUCUGCACCACUUGCUUCCUCAUGCUGCAGACCAACGGGCCCAGAAAAACAGCUCAUAUCAUGCUCCCAGGAUGCUCCAAUAACUAUGACCAUGGACUUCACUGCCCACCCAUUCCUCAAGGUCAUCUGCAGGACCCUCAUUUUUAACCUGUGUUUUAUUGCCCUGGCUUAUCCCUGGAUUUCUCUAGCUAGGUGUGACUUCACACUGUUAUCACAAGUGCUUCCAACUAGAACAGUCUCUGCAAAGGGCCUGCUUAGCUAGACAACAACACAAUAGAAAGGAAGGAGCAAGGAUCCUUGGUCAUGCCUCUCUCACCAUGAACAUGACAACCCCUCCCAUGGGCAGGGACAGGACCUACUGCCACUUAUCUUCCACAGAACUUGGGGCAAUAAAAAAAGUUUUCUGAACCUCCAAAAUGGAUACUGUGUGAAAUAUGGAGAAGAGCACAGGCAGAGGCCCUGUGACUCAAGCACCAUCAUCAUCAUCAUCAAUGCCAACUAGGGUUCCCUUCAGAUAGCAUGUGAUAGUGAACAGACACUUUGGGCAUAGGGGUCCCAAGAGCCAUGCCCUAGAAGGAAAUCACCCACAUUCUAAUCAUUAGUAACCGUGUAUACAUCGGAGGGGCACAUUUUACACAACAACAUAAGGAAGAGACAGGGUAAAGCCCCAGAAACGGAGAUGGACCUUCAAUCUUUCCUAUUACCCAGCCCACCAAAUGGUACAACACUUGACACUUCACUCUGAUGGCAAGGCUCCACAGGGGCACCUCAGUAUCUAGGCACAGGGUCAGCAAAGAGGGAAGCCACUCAGAGAAAAGGGAUCAGGCUGGCCUGCUGUACUGUGGCCUCACUAGAAGGUCCCAUGUCAUGACUACCACUCAACACUCCCUCAUCCAGGCCAUUCACUUCUAUGAAGCCAACCAGCAGAGAUAAGAAAAACUACCCAGAGAAACCUAAAAUCAAAGAGAAAGCUGGGGUUUAGUGUUUGGCACUAUAUAGGAUUGGUGAUCUAUUAUUCCUGUAGUGAAUUACCUAAUUUUAUUUGUUCUGAGGGAGAAAAGUACACAUACCCCCACUGCCUGAGAGGAAAGCUAAAGAAAGUAGAAUAUGGCACUUUUUAAUAAAUACUUUAAAGCUUCUUAAAGAAAUAAGUGGAAAAGAAAAGCAACUGCUGUAAGGCCUGUUUCGUAGUUUAAAAUUAUUCUGAGGGAAAAGACAAUAUAGCUUACAAAAAUAAAAACAAAACACCUGUCCCUAUAACCAUCUGCCAGACCACAUUUUGACCCAAAAUGCAAAUACCAAGCUCUGAGGGGAGGAAACUAGCCUCCUCCAGCACACCCUGUGCCCUGACCCCCAGAGCAAUAGUCACCCCACAGUAAGCCAAGAUACCACACACAGCACACUGAGCAGAAGCAGUCACCUCCAUGUACACAGUGCGCCUCACUUUGCUGACCCCAUGGACCCCCACGAGCCCCUGGGCUGGCAAAGAACAAGCCUCUCCACGCAGAUGUGCUCCUCUAGAACCAUCUUACAGUUACACCUUGCAGGCAGAUGCUGCCCAUCUCCUCAUAGACACCACCACUAAGCUACUGAAAGAAUUAAACUUCAAGUAAAAUUAGCUCAUGUGGGCCUAAUGGCCAUUUCCACCAAGCUCAGGUGUUGUCAUUCUGAAUACUGACCCAUCAAGUCACAGGGAACAUCUGCACCCCACUCAGCCCUAAAGGAGGUCUCCUUAGUUCACCCAGGUCAAGCUCUCCCCUCACCCACCAACUCGCCUACCAUAAAGAUUCAAGAGAUGUGAU